UACGAGGGGGGCAAGCGUUGUUCGGAAUUAUUGGGCGUAAAGGGUAGGUAGGUGGUCUCAUUUGUCAGGGGUGAAAUCCUUGGGCUUAACUCAAGAAGUGCCCCUGAAACGGUGAGACUCGAGUCCUGGAGAGGUGAGUGGAAUUCCCGGUGUAGCGGUGAAAUGCGUAGAGAUCGGGAGGAACACCAGAGGCGAAGGCGGCUCACUGGACAGGCACUGACACUCAACUACGAAAGCGUGGGGAGCAAACAGG
rnacentral:rRNA from 1 species